UUUUGGGCCGGUUCAAGCGAUUUCGGUUGGUUUUUCAGCCGGUUCGAAGUUUUUGGGAGUGGUUCUGUACUACACCAAAGUAAUUAUGUAAUAAUUUAGUACUUAGCUUAAUUUAGGAGCCAAAAAUCAGUCCAUUUUAGGGUGUUUUU